rnacentral:rRNA from 1 species
GACGCCUGCCCAGUGCCGGAAGGUUAAAAAAUUUAGUUAUUUGAAUGUUUAAAAAAGAGAAGCUAGAAAUUGAAGCCCCGGUGAACGGCGGCCGUAACUCUGACGGUCCUAAGGUAGCGAAAUUCCUUGUCGCGUAAGUUGUGACCCGCACGAAUGGCGUAACGAUCUGGGUACUGUCUCAGAGAGAGACUCGGUGAAAUAGAAAUGUCUGUGAAGAUGCGGACUUCUUACAUCUGGACAGAAAGACCCUAUGAAGCUUGACUGUAUCUUAAAAUUGAAUUUGAGUUUUUUUCGCGCAGUCUAAGUGGGAGACAGUGAAAAUAUUUUUUUGGAAAUAUUAGAGUCGCAAAAUGAGAGACCACUCUUGAAAAACUAAAAUUCUAAUAAUACAUUCUUCAAUCAGAAUAUUAAACAGUUUUAGGUGGGCAGUUUUUUUGGGGCGAAAACCUCCCAAAAAGUAACGGAGGUGUACAAAGGUUUCUUCAAACUGGACGGAAAUCAGUUAUAGAGUAUAAAGAUAAAAAGAAGCUUAACUGUGAGACAGACACGUCGAACAGAGGCGAAAGCCGGUCUUAGUGAUCCGACGGUUCUAUGUGGAAAGGCCGUCGCUCAACGGAUAAAAGUUACUCUAGGGAUAACAGGCUGAUCUUCCCCAAGAGUUCACAUCGACGGGAAGGUUUGGCACCUCGAUGUCGGCUCAUCGCAACCUGGGGCAGUAGUAUGUCCC